rnacentral:rRNA from 1 species
AUUGAACGCUGGCGGCAGGCCUAACACAUGCAAGUCGAGCGAGCGGCGGAAGGGUGAGUAAUGUCUGGGAAACUGCCUGAUGGAGGGGGAUAACUACUGGAAACGGUAGCGAAUACCGCACACCCUCAGAUGUGCCCAGAUGGGAUUAGCGAGUAGGUGGGGUAAUGGCUCACCUCGGCGACGAUCCAGAGCGCGUCUGAGAGGAUGACCAGCCACACUGGAACUGAGACACGGUCAAGACUCCUACGGGAGGCAGCAGUGGGGAAGAUGGCAAAAUGGGCGCAAGCCUGAUGCAGCCAUGCCGCGUGUGUGAAGAAGGCCUUCGGGUUGUAAAGCACUUUCAGCGGGGAGGCGUUACCCGCAGAAGAAGCACCGGCUAACUCCGUGCCAGCAGCCGCGGUAAUAC